CCAGGCUGGAGUGCAAUGGAGCAAGACACUGUCUCAAAUACAAUACAAUACAAUACAAUACCAAACCAAACCAAUACUAUCACUUCAUUCUCCUACUUAAAACCUUCUCAUGGUUCUUUUUUUUUUUUUUUUUGAGUCGGAGUCUCGCUCUGUCG